rnacentral:misc_RNA from 1 species
AUUCCGUAGGUGAACCUGCGGAAGGAUCAUUGACGAGGUGUUUUUUGAGUGUGCACUGCCCGAGAGGGUUGAUGAAUCAUUUAUGUGCUUUUCCAAAAUACAACUUUUAACAAUGGAUCUCUUGGCUCUUGCAUCGAUGAAAACGCAGC